CUCCCUGAUUGUCAGAAUCGGUUACCCUCGCUGGUCUGAGAUGGGGAAGGUGGAGAAGGACCCAGACACCCACCCGGGGGAACUCAGGCCCAGCGCUCGCCCAGGCAUUUGUAAAAUGUUGAUGGCCAAGCAUGAUACCUCAUGCCUGAGACGCCAGCUCUCAGGAGGCCCCCGGCAAGUUCAAGGCCAGCUUGCUCUACAUGAUCCAAAGAAGCGUCUUUCUCUGAUUCCUUUUAUCUGGAAGAACUGAGAGGAGACGGGCGAACGGUUGUGAGAAUCUCUUUAAGGGGCAGUCCUGGAAUGAGUGAAGGUUUGAACGCUUUUCUUAAAAUCAGAGUCCCGGGAAAUUUUCAUUUUUUCUUCGGUUUUGGCGCCGUGCACCGCUGACUCCUGGCCGCCUGUCUCUCCUAUGGCCUGGCAUCUUCACAGAUGCAGAUUUUGAAAAUGCAUUUCUCCUUUAUCUGAGAGCCCCUCCUGCCCCCUCCUCCAGGACCGACACACUAUGCGUGGAACCUGUGAUGCUAGGCCAUCCUUCCUAUGGUUUGACAUAUUGUCUCACCAGUAAAGGGUAGAGCUGGAACCCACCAUGAAAUCCUGGCCCAGCAAAAUACGUGCCCUAGAGAAGAAGGACCACAAACUCAAGACAUGCUUCUGGGCCGGAGAGUUCCUGACCUCACUAUGCUGCCUGCGCAUGUUCUUGAACUUCGGAUUCUCUUGCUUCUCCUUCUCCCCCCCGCCCCCGACCCCCAGUGCUGGGAUCACAGGACUGCACCCCUAAGCCUGGCUUACAUACUGCUGUGGGUGGAGCUCAGGGCCUACUGUGCUCCAGCUGACAACCAAGCCCCAGCUGACAACCAAGCCCCAUCCUUAGCUCUAGUCCUUCACGUUGACUCUGCCUCACCUCUCAGAGAAAGAUGCUCUGUGGCCUGGAGCUUUUCCGGACUGUGUUUGACAACUGGAGUCAUUCCUAGAGCUUGCGCAGUAGACCAGGCUACUAGGCUACUACUACUAGCAGCCUCUGCUUCUGCCUCUUGAGUGCUGGGACUAAAGGCAUGAGCCAUCACUGCCCAGUAGCAUAUAUAUACAUAUAUGGAGCUGGAGAGAUGGCUCAGUGGUUAAAAGCACUUGUUGCUCUUGCUGAGGACCUGAGUUCAAUUCCCAGCCUACACAGUUGCUUACAUGCUUACAGCCAUCCAUAACUCCAGUUCCUGGGGAUAUGAUACCCUCUUCAGACCUCCUCAAGCACCAGGCACAUACAUAGUACACAUAUAUACACUCAUACACAAAAAGUAAAUUUUUAAAAA
rnacentral:lncRNA from 1 species